GCCUGGCUGGCUCAGUGGGUAGAGCACGCAACUCUUGAUCUUUGGAGUCAUGAGUUCAAGCCCCAUGUUGGGCA
rnacentral:tRNA from 1 species